AUUGAACGCUGGCGGCAGGCCUAACACAUGCAAGUCGAGCGGAUGAGUGGAGCUUGCUCCAUGAUUCAGCGGCGGACGGGUGAGUAAUGCUUAGGAAUCUGCCUGGUAGUGGGGGACAACGUUUCGAAAGGAACGCUAAUACCGCAUACGUCCUAAGGGAGAAAGUGGGGGAUAUUCGGACCUCACGCUAUCAGAUGAGCCUAGGUCGGAUUAGCUAGUUGGUGAGGUAAAGGCUCACCAAGGCGACGAUCCGUAACUGGUCUGAGAGGAUGAUCAGUCACACUGGAACUGAGACACGGUCCAGACUCCUACGGGAGGCAGCAGUGGGGAAUAUUGGACAAUGGGCGAAAGCCUGAUCCAGCCAUGCCGCGUGUGUGAAGAAGGUCUUCGGAUUGUAAAGCACUUUAAGUUGGGAGGAAGGGCAGUAAGUUAAUACCUUGCUGUUUUGACGUUACCAACAGAAUAAGCACCGGCUAACUUCGUGCCAGCAGCCGCUGUAACAC
rnacentral:rRNA from 1 species